rnacentral:lncRNA from 1 species
GGGCUCAUGACAGGGGCAGCUAGCAGCCGUGCCGUUCCUCUAAGCAACCACCUUAAUAAAGCCAGAUUUGAAGAACUUGAUCUUUUCUGCUUACACUGGUUAGAUUAUGAAAAUCUGGAAAUGGAGUUAUUGGAAUUUCCAGAAAGCUCUAUCUGGAAAAAUAAAUUCUGUGAUGUGCACCCAACACUUGAGAAGAUAGAGAAGAUGGAGUGUGAAGGGAUGACAAAGGACAGCACAGUUGGUAAUUCUAAAAAUGAAAUCCUUGAAGUGUGGAAUUCUCUGCCACAUAAUUUUAAGUCAAUGAAAGCACUUGGAAUUGCUUUUCUUACUUUGUUUGGAUCAUCUUAUGCUUGUGAGCAGCUGUUUUCAUCUUUGAAUUUUACCAAAUCUGAUAUAAGAAACAGACUAACUGAUGACCUGAGCACUGCAUGAGUUGCUGUCAAACUAAGGAAGUAUGAGCCAAGAUUUGACAAAUUAUCAGUGUGCACACAAAAGCAAAGAUCACAUUAAUUGUGCAAAAGCACACCAAAUGUGAACUUCUACCUUUCCAUAAAAAGCUGUU